GAACGCACCUUGCACUCCUUGGUAUUCCGAGGAGUAUGCCUGUUUGAGUGUCAUUAAAUUCUCAAACCUCUUUGACUUUAUUGACAAAGAGGCUUUGGAUGUGGGAGUUGCUGGCUUUUACGAGUCAGCUCUCCUUAAAUACAUUAGUGGUUACUGUUCUCCACUUCCUGGUGUGAUAAUAUCUACGCCUAGUGGUGAUGUUAAGUGUAGCUGCUUUCUAACCGUCCAUGCAAUGUGGACAACUUGAACCCUUUGACCUCAAAUCAGGUAGGACUACCCGCUGAACUUAAG
rnacentral:misc_RNA from 1 species